UCACUUCAUGAGUGAUCUAUAGAAUUCAGGAAGUAUCUUUUUAAUCUAGAAAAAAACCUGGAUAUUUAUUAGCCCUAAGACAUACUUUUUUUUGUUUCCUUUAUGUAACUCUAAGCAUAAUGAAACCAUAGAAAUAUAGCCUUUGCUGACUUCUGUUAACCUUUUCUUUUUUUCUUUUCUUUUUUAUUUUUAGAGAGCACAUGUGAGUGGGGGAGAGGGAGGGAGGGAGGAACAGAUGUGGGGGAGAGAGAGGGAGGGAGGGACAGAGGGGGAGAGGGAGGGAGGGAGGGAGGGAGGGAGGAUGAAUCUUAAGUGUGGAGCCCAGUGCAUGGCUCAGUCCCAUGAUCCUGGGAUUGUGACCUGAGCCAAAAUCAAGAGUCAGACGCUUUGGGUGCCUGGGUGGCUCAGUUGGUUGAGCGUCUGACUUCGGCUCAGGUCAUGAUCUCACGGUUCUUGGGUUCAAGCUCUGCAUCAGGUUCUGUGCUGACAGCUCAGAGCCUGGAGCCUGUUUCAGAUUCUGUGUCUCCCUCUCUCUCUGACUCUGCCUUGCUUGUACUCUGUCUCUCUCUGUCUCAAAAAUAAAUAAACAUUUAAAAAAAAUUAAAAAAAAAAAAAAAGACAACCAACUGAGCCACCCAGGCGCCCCUCUCUUAACCUUUUAAAAAUGAUUUUUUUAUUUUUAAGGAGACUAUUUCUUUAUACAAAUUAUUGGUAAUGUUACUUGUAACAAUAAAGUGUUGGUGCUGAUUUAUCCGUUUUCUUUCAAAUCUCAGGAAUUUUAACUUAAAAAAUGUUUUCUGAACUAUUUAAUAAUCCGUUUUCAAAUCUAGCCAAAUCAAAAUUGCCAUGCAGUAAUGAUUGGCUUGGUUUAACCAUAUUUUACAUUAUAGAACACAAUAUAGUAGUGUUUUGUUUAUUUAGCAUGUAAUUCUGAAUUCUUUUGGGGGCUGAUUGUGGUAUUCUCAUUUUUUGCAAGGAUACAGAAAUCCUCCUUUAAAGAAUGAAUGUGACCAGUAAAGAUAAGUCAUAGAACUACCACUUAAACAGGGUGUGUCAAAGAAUCAGAGAGAAUUUGAAUCCAACUUUUUUGCAUUUGUACAUAUAUUUACUAGAAUUGUGUGUUUGUAGUUCAGAGGACAAGUUUAUGGUGUGUGUGUGUGUGUGUGUGUGUGUGUGUGUGUGUUGGCUUCUGUAAGAAAAAAUGGUAAUUAUAUAACAAUUAUAAUGUUACGAUUCCGGAGAUGGAUCAAAGAAGUUAAAGUCAGUGGGAGAAAAAUCCUAAAGUGUCUUUGGAGAACAGGCAGCCUAUUUCUUAUAGUGGACCAACGAAAUGAGAAAACACUUGUUCUUUCUUUGGCUUCAUCUUUCUUAUACUGCCUUCUACUCAGAAUCAGGUAGGUUAGGUAGAUCACCUGGCGUCUGUCUCUGAGUGAGUGGGAAUAUUUAUGAGCAGGCUAAAGCAGUUCUUAAGUGUCCACUUCUUUGGUAGAGAGACUGCUUGUUCCAUGCUCAGACAUUACUUUUCCCACAGAAAUUGCCUGCCAUCACCUCCCUAGCAGUAGAAUGACUAAUUAUGAGCUGGAGUCUUAACAUUUUUCACUGUUUUGACAUUGUGUGCUUGGCACGGUGUAGGGUACUUCUUUAGUUCUUCAGGGUGUCUAUAUUUAUCAUAUACAAUGUAGAUGCCUUUAUAAUAUUAAAUAUGUGAUUUGUAUCUCUUACCUUCCAAUUCCAUCAGUAAAGCAUAGCUGCUUAGUUACAAAUCAGACAGGAUUAAACAGUUUGUUAUACCUUGUGGCUCAGUAGAGUAAGUUGAAACAAAGAAGAUUUACCAAGAGGGCAGAAUUUUUGCAGAUGCUUUUCUGUGCCUUGUUAGCAUUCAUCUUUAUUGACCAGACUUCGGGCAGGUUUCCCAAGUACACUGGCAUGCAGUAGUGGCCAGCCAUUAAGUUUCCUAUCUCAGAGAGGAGGGGGAUGAUCCUAAUGAUCAUGUUCUAGUCUGUAGCUGAUCACUGGUUCUAUAUUUGCUGUUGGCAGUGGCAUAGCAGUUUAAAGAUUCUUUUGAAUGUGACAGUAAAUGAACGAGAGAGUCAAAGGCAAGGGUAGGAACAGAAAGGUAAGGUAAUACUGGAGACCCCUCAUGGAUGCAGUGUGCCGUGUCAAGGACAAAAAGAUAGCUCUUGACUCCUGGCAGAUCUGAUGAACCAGAAUUUCUUCCUCCUUUUUACCCCUAAAAGGAUAUUUAGUAAUAUUUAGUAAGUAAAUAUCACAUAUUUACUUAGAAAUUUAUUUUUCUCAGGUUUCUUAAGGUGAGGGAAACUUUUGUCUUAGGCAUCAGUCUCAUUGACAAUUUUAAGAGUGAUCGUUUUACAACUUCCUGUCUUCAGCUGUUAAAUUCUCAUCCUGAGUUGUCUUUAACUACCAGUGAGUGCUAGAUUGCGACGUUCUGUUAGUUUAAUGAAAAAAGUUCUAGAAUAAAAUAGGAAUUCCCUUUUGGAAAGUUACAUUAGGAAUGUGCAGUGAUUAACUAUUCCUUAGCCAGAUAGUUGCAUAAUUUUAAUUCUGCAGUGGUGGGAAAAAAAUGUUUAAAGAGUUCAGUUGGCAAGUAUUUAUUGAUUGUUGAUUAUACGCGUUACUGUAUCUGGUGCUGGGGAAAUACAAAGAUGAGUAAAGCAGAGCCUCUUUCUUGAAUCAAAAUUUAUUUGUUAAAAAGCUUUGUAAUUAGUACAAAAAGUAAAACAAGUAAAAUGAGCAUAAAUAAUGUGUUUGAAAUAUCAAAAAUUAAUUGGUAAUUUUUUAGAUGAUACUAUCAAAUAAAUUAUUCUAAGUAAAAAAAUUUUUUUUAAAUAAUAGGGCUCUUACAGAAAAAAAUUCAAAAGAUUUUCAGAAGUUGUAGUCAACUUCAACACCAAAUAAUCAACACAAAUAUGUGCUACUUUAAGAUUAUGUUAAUAGUCUUCACAGUAUUUCUCUUCAACACUAUUAUCUGAUCAACACAUAUAUGAAUGGAAUAAUAACCAUACACUUGUUAUCAUACACUUGUUACACUAUUUCUUUUUUUUUUUCCACAAAAUGUUAAGAAUCAAUUUUAUAAAGGGAUUCUUAGAGAUUAGUAAAUGUCCCACGGUUACAGAGAUAAUGGCUGACAGAGCUUGGAUUCAAACCAGGCUGUCACAUAUCUGAGUGGCUUUUCUUUCUUGGUCUCAGUUAAUCCCCUCACCUCCUAUGCCUUUCCCUCCACCCCUUUUCAGUGUGAUUUGGAAGAACCUGCAAAACGCAGUAUAAGUGGAGAAAUACAAUAACUUUUAUUUUCUUUAAACUUCUAUUGUAAAAGAAAAAUUUAAAGGAAAAAUGUAGCUAAUUUCAUUACCUAAAUCCUUUUCUAUAUAUUUCCUUUCAGUCUCUCCAUUAUAUACAUACAUUUGCAAUGUGUAAACAUAUUUAUGAUCUUAUAUCUUACUACUACUUUGUCAUUCUGUUGGACAUUUCACAUACUUCUAAUUUUUUAAAAUUAUUUUGUAUUAUAUAUUAUGCUUUGAUCUAAUUUAUUCAUAUUUGCUCAUCCAUUUUUCUACUUUGGUAUUGUUCUGGUUUUCAGGUUUUUACAUAAGGUAGCAAUGAACACUUUUCUGCAUAGAAUAUUUUUAUUCUUUUGAAUUAUUUUUAUAGGAUAAAUUCCCAGAAGUGGGUCAGAUAUACUCUUGAACCUCAUAUGUUAGCUUGUGCCUAGUAAUACGUUUAUGAUGCUAAUUAGAGAGGAACAGAUUUGCAGAACAAAAUGUGUUUUAUUCCUUAUAGUCAUUUUCCAUUGUCUAGUCAUUUUGCAUAUGAACAGCAGAGGUUGAGUUACUUAUACUAUUUUCUUAUUUCUACUGGGAAAUGUAAGAAAUGCAGAGAUACAGACAAUAUUAAAUUAGAAGUGCUAAAGCAUUUCAGUUUUAUCAUUCUUGGCAUGGUCUUUUUGUUUUUACAUUUUCAGGAAUAUCACUGGCAUAUGAUUCCAAGCUCUGUAAGGAAAAUACGGAUGGAGAGAAGAAUGCUGUUGCAUUGAUAGAAUAAGGUUCAGGAAUGCCUAUAUACAAUGACAGUGAAUUUAUGUCAGACCUUCAAGACAGCUAGGAAUUUAGCCAGCUCAGGUGCAUAGUGGCAGAAGAGAAGAGGCUCAAGUAAAAAUAUGCAGGCAGUUCAUACCCCUAGAGAGCCCCAAGCUAGCUCCUACUUGAAGUUAAGACAGCUAGUGCAGGGAGAGGUAGCUGCUGGGUGCUCUGUGAAGCACUUGUGGUGUUUUGUGCUCUAGGUGAAAUGCUUUGCUUCCCUCAUUAAGGGCCAAGACCAUGGUUUCAUCCUUUGAAUUUUAGUACAGUGCAUAGUAGGCCCUUAGUGAAUGUAUACUCAGUUGAGUUCAUUUCAUGGAUGAGCUUUGUAAAGAGUGGCUAGCAGAUAUGAAGUGAAAAUUUUAUUAGAUUACUUGAGGCUGUUUGGACAGGUCCACCAAGUUGGUAGGAAUAGAUUUUGAUGGCUUUGGUGGAUGGUUAACAGAAUUGGAAGGUUGCUCAGGAAGAAGAGUUGAUGGUUAACUGCUCUGAUGAAACUUCUUUUGUUGUUGUUGUUGUUUUACUUUAAUUUUUUCUUUUCACCUUUGACCCCUAUUCUUUCUAAGCCCUACCCUCUGUCUCUGGCAGCCGCCAGUCUGUUCUCUGUAACUGUGAGCAUGCUUCUUGUUGUUGUUUUGUUUUGUUUUGUUUUAUUUUUGUUUUUAGAUUGCACAUAUAAGAGAGAUCAUAUGCUAUUUGUCUUCUCUGUCUGACUUAUUUUGCUUAUUAGCAAAAUGCCCUCAGGGUCCAUCCAUGUUAUCACAAAUGACAAAAUUUCAUUCCUUCUUUAUGGCUGAAUAAUAUUCUGUUGUACCUAUCACACACACCACAGUUUUUCUUUUCUGUUUUGAUUUUUUGAAAUUUAAAUCCAAGUUAAUUAACAUACAGUUUAAUAAUAAUUUCAGGUGUAGAAUUUAGUGAUUUAUCACUUACAUAUAACACCAGUGCUCAUCCAAACAGUUGUCCUCCUUCAUGCCCAACACCUGGCCAGCAACCGUCAGUUUGUUCUCUGUAUUUAAGAGUCUCUUAUAGUUUGCUUCCCUCUCUGUUUUUAUCUUAUUUUCCCUUCCCUUCCUCUAUAUUCAUCUGUUUUGUUUCAUAAAUUCCACAUAUGAGUGCAAUCAUAUGGUAUUUGUCUUCCUCUGACUGGCUUAUUUUGCUUAGCAUAACACACUCUAGUUCCAUCCACAUUGUUGCAAAUGGCAAGAUUUCAUUCUUUUUGAUCACUGAGUAAUAUUCCUGUGUGUGUGUGUGUGUGUGUGUGUGUGUGUGUGCGUGCGUGUGUGUCUGUGUACAUACGUACAUACACAUACCAUUUCUUUAUCCAUUUGUCAGUCAAUGGACAUUUGGGCUCUUUCCAUUCUUUGGCUAUUGUCAGUAGUGCUGCUAUAAACAUUGGGGUGCAGGUGCCCCUUCAAAUCAGCAUUUUUGUUUCCUUUGGGUAAAUACCUAGUAGUGCAAUUGCUGGGUCAUAGGGUAGUUCUAUUUUUAAUUUUUUGAGGAACCACCAUGCUGUUUUCAGAGUGGCUGCACCAGUUUGCAUUCUCACCAGCAGUGCAAAAGGGUUCAUUCCCCUUUCUCCACAUCCUUUCCAACAUCUUUUUUCUUCCUGAGUUCUUAAUUUUAACCAUUCUGACAAGUGUGCAGUGGUGUCACAGUUUCUUUAUCCAUUCAUCCAUUGAUACACACUUAGGUGUCUGUAUCUUGGCUAUUACAAAUAAUGCUGCAGAGAACAUGAGGGUAUAUAUAAGCUUUUCAGGUUAAUUAUUUUGUUUUCUUCAGAUAAAUACCCAGACGUGGAAUUGCUGGUUUAUCUGGUAGUUUAAUGUUUUGAGGAACCUUCAUACUGCUUUCCACAGUGGCUGCACCAAUUUACAUUCCCACCAAGAGUGCACAAAGCUUCCCUUUUCCCCCCCCACAUACUUGCCAAAACUUGUUUUCUUGACUUUUUGAUGAUAGCCAUUUUAACAAAUAUGAGAUGAUCUCUCAUUGUGGUUUUGAUUUUUAUUUUCCUAGUGACUAAUGAUGUUGAGCAUCUUUUCAUGUUCCUGUUGGCCAUCUGUAUGCCUUCUUUGAAAAAAUGUCUAUUCAGAUCUUCUGCCCAUUUUAUAAAAUAUCAGUUGUGUUUUUGCUAUUGAGUUAUGUGAAUUCUUUAUAUAUUUUGGAUAUUAGGCCCUGAUCAGGUAGAUAUAUGAUUUGCAGUUAUUUUCUCCAAUUUAGUAGGUUGCCUUUUCAUUUUGUUGAUGGUUUCCUUUGCUGUGCAGAAGCUUUUUAGUAUGAUGUUGUCCCACUUGUUUACUUUUAUUGCUUUCACUUUUUGUUGUUGUUGCUUUCACUUUUGGUGUCAGAUUCAAAAAUAAUGGCCAAGACCUGUGUCAAGGAGCUUACUGCCUGUGUUUUCUUUUAAUAGUUUUACGGCUUUACAUCUUAUGCUCAAAUCUUUAAUCCAUUUUGAGUUAAUUUUUGUGCGUGGUGUAAGAUAGUGGUCAAGAUUCAUUCUUUUGCAUAUGACUGCCCAGUUUUCCCAACACCAUUUGUUAAAGAGACUGUCCUGUCCCUCUUGUAUAUUUUUGCUUCUUUUGUAGUAAAUUAAUUGAGCAUAUAUGCACAGGGUUAUUUUUGGGCUCUCUGUUUUGUUCUUUUGAGCGAUGUGUCUAAUUUUCAUGCCAAUACCAUACUGUUUUGAUUACUAUAGCUUUCCAAUGUAGUUUGAAGUGAGGGAGUGUGAUACCUCCAGCUUCGUUCUUAGGAUUGCUUUGGUUAUUCAGGGUUUUUGUGGUUCCAUGCAAAUUUUAGAAUUACUUGUUUUAUUUCUUUGAAAAAUGCCAUUAGAAUUUAGAUUGCUUUGAGUAGUAAAGACAUUUUAACAAUAUUGAUGCCUCCAAUCCAUGUGCAGAAUAUCUUUCCAUUUAUUUGCAUCCUCUUGAACCACUUUCAUUACUAUCUUGUAGUUGUCACCUACAAGGAGGUUAAAAUUGGUUAAAUUUAUUCCUAGGUAUUGUAUUCUUCUUGAUGCAUUGUAAAUGGUAUUGUUUUCUUUAUUUCUCUUUGUGAUAGUUUGUUAUUAUGAAAAUGCAACAGGAUUUUUGUGCAUUGAUUUUAUAUCCUGCAACUUUACUGAAUUCAUUUAUUCUAACAGUUUUUUGGGCUUUUUAUAUAUAAUGUCAUGUCAUCUACAAAUAGUGACAGUUUUAUUUCUUCCUUUCCAGUUUGGAUGAUUUUGUUUCUUUUUCUUGCCUAAUUGCCCUGGCCAGGAGUACUAUCUUGAACAACAGUGAUAAAUAUGGACAUACUUGUCUUGCCCCUGAUCUUAGAGGAAAGGCUUUCACCUUUUUUUUUUUUUUUUAAUGUUUUAUUUAUUUUUGAGAAAGAGCAUGAGCACGGGAGGGGCACAGAGAGAGGGAGACAAAGGAUCCAAAGUGGGCUCUGUGCUGUCAGCGGAGAGCCCGAUGUGGGGCUUGAACCCAUGAACUGUGAGAUUAUGACCUGAGCCAAAGUUGGAUGCUCAACUGAGCCACCCAGGUGCCCCAGGCUUUCUCAGCUUUUUACCACUGAGUAUAAUAGCUGUGGCUUAUCAGUUUAUAAAUGGCCUUUCUUGUGUUGAGAUAUGUUCCCCCUAUACUCACUUUGUUGAGAAUUUUUAUCAUCAAGAAACUUAAAACCGUAGAAAAACCUGCACAUGAAUGUUUAUAGCAGCUUUAUUAUAAUCUUCAAACACUAGAAAUAGCUAAGAUGUCUUUCAGUAGGUAAAUGAAUAAACAAACCAUGGGGCAUGUAUACAAUAGAAUGUUGUUAUGUGAUAAGAAAUCAGCUCCUAAGCCACAAGAAAACAUUGGUGAAUAUUUUUUUUCUUAAUUUUUUUUAAAUGCUUAUUUAUUUUGAGAGAGAGAGAGAGAGAGAGAGAGAGCACGGCGAGUUGGGGAGAGGCAGGGAGAGAGGGAGGUACAGAAUCUUUGAGGCAGGCUCCAGGCUCUGAGCUGUCAGCACAGAGCCCGAUGCGGGGCUCAAACUCAUGAGCUGUGAGAUCAUGACCUGAGCCAAAGUGGGACACUCAACCAACUAAGCCACCCAGGAGCCCCAAACAUGGGUGAAUCUUAAAUGCCUCUUACUGGGUGAAAGAAACUGGUCUGAAAAGGCUACACUCUAUAUGAUGAUGUUCUGGAAAAUGGAAAACUAAAGUGAUGGUACAGAAAUCAGUGGUUGCUGGGGUUUGGGAGGAGAGAAGGAUUGAAUCAUGGGAAGUUUUAGAGCAGUGAAAUUAUUCUGUAUGAUACUAGAAUGGUGGGCACAUGACCCUGUGCAUUUGUCAAAACACACAGAACUUUAUAGCUUUAUAGAACUUUAUAGCUUCGUAGAACUUUAUCUUCACAGAGAGGGAACUUUAAUAUAUGCAAAUUUAAAAAGUAGUUUAGGGGAUUCCGAGAUCCCAGGGUGGAAGACAGUGUGACAAAACAGACUUUACUGUAUUACAGAUGUAAGAAACCAUCUCAUUGAAGAGGUAGGAGGAAAAGGUGCUGACCUUUAGUAACUUCGGAAGUCAGUGGAGUCUGUUAAGACUAAAGGCAAAAGACCUAUACAUAAAUACUAUACUCCAGUUGAUAAAGUUGUUUCCCACAGGGUACAGGCUAACAAUUCUGAUAACUGCUAUACAUGUCUACUGAAAUUGAACAAUAAAGUAAAUGGAUGGUUGCUGAUUGAAGUCAGAUUUCUUCUUACUGUUGGGAGUUUACAGAUAAACAAGGUAGUGGGGGGUUCAGGAUGAUCUAUGUCCUAAUGGAUUGGAUUUGGAGACAUCAGUAAGAGCUCAUGUGUAACUUAUUUUAGAUGGUUACAUAUGGAAAUAUUUAUAGUUGUGUGUACACACAGAUUCAUAUACACACUUAUAUUUUCUUGCUUGGUCAACUGAAGUAAUGACCUUAGAAGUAAUGACAUACAGUAGUGACAAGCAUACCUGGCACCCAGAUCUUGGUUUUUAAUAUUACUCUCCAGUAAGAGAAACCAGGGCUCUUGGAGAAACAGAGUUCCAGAACUGGGGCAGGAAAUAUGGAAGAUGAGCAUGGAGCAUAUUGUAAUGCUAGAAAGUAAAGGAAGUACUUAAAACACACACACACACACACACACACACACACACACACAAUGAUGGAACCACAUCAAAGGAACAGAAGAGCUAACUGAAAAGAGCUCCCAGUAGCCAAAGCUGGAGAAAUUUGAGCAACAAAAUAAAUGAAGUAGUAAUAGAUUAUAAUCCAAAGUAUAAAACUCCAUGAGUCCAUACUGCUAUACUUAGUGAUUGAUUAAAUAAAUGUGGCAGAAGAGACAAAUUUACUGUGCAUAAGAAUUCAGAAUUAUUUAUUGGUAGAUAGUACUCCCUCAAGGAGGGUGACCCUAAGUCUCCAUCCUUAAAAUGUGGUGAGUAGUGAUUUCCUUCCAAACAGUACAGUAUGGAAAGGGAGUGAGUAACUUUAAAAUGGAGAAACUUACAAAUACUCCCUCAGCCAGGUGAUCAAGAUUAACAUCAGCAGUGAUAAUUACCCCUGAUAUGAUGUAAUGACACUUUACCUCUAUGGUCUUUGGCCCCCCAAGACUAUAAUCCCAGUCUAACUAUGAGAAAAAAAAUCAUAAAAACCCAAAUUGGUGGACAUUCUACAGAACACCUGAUACGUACUCUUCCUAAUUGUCAGGGUCGUCAAAAACAAGUUUGAGAAACUGUCAUUGUUAACAGGACCCUAAGGGACAUGACAACUAAAUGUAAUGUGAUUACAUGUAAUAUGGUAUCCUGAAUGGAAUUAUAGAACAGAAAAAAAAAUUAGUAAAAGCUAAGGAAAUGCAUGAAUGAAGUAUGGACUUAAAUUAAUACUGUAUCGAUACUGGUUCGUUAAUUGUAACAAAUAUACCAAACUAACAUAAGAUGUUAAUGAUAGGGGAAAUUGGGUUCCAGGUGUAUAGGAACUUUCUAUAUCAUCUAUACCAUAUUAGCAACUUUUCUAUAAACUAGAAAUGUUCUGAAAAUCUCACAAAAGACUUCUGAGUGGCACACAGGUGGAAUUGCUUACCCUUAUUCCCAAAUGGAAUUUAAAAAUUUUUCUUGUAGAUAAAAGCGAUUAGGGGCACCUGGGUGGCUCAGUUGGUUGAGCGUCUGACUUCAGCCCAGGUCAUGAUCUCAGGGUUUGUGAGUUUGAGCCCCGCAUGGUGCUCUGUGUUGUCAGUGUGGAGCCUGCUUCGUAUCCUCUCUGUCUCUCUCCCUCUCUCCCUCUCUCCCUCUCUCCCUCUCUCCCUCUCUCCCUCUUCCCUCCCCUCCCCCCUCCCCCCUCCCCCAGUUCAAGUGCUCUCUUCCUCUCUGAAACAUAAACAUUAAAAAAAAUUUCUUUUUGGAUAACAAACUACCCAAAGAGUUCCUGUGAUGAUCCUAGAGAUUCCAAUAUGAGAAUUAUCUUCUCAUAUUUAUCACUUGCAAGACCCAAGCAGCUUCUUUUAAUUAAUUAUAAACUCUUGUAAUUUAAUUCUGAAAUUGAGAAAUGGAAACUGGUUUUCACAUGCCCUCCAUACAGGUUUAAGAAAGAGUGAAAAGUCCAUAGACCCUGAAGGGUCUUGUGCUUACCUACUACUUUGCUUAAUAAUUGUUUAUUUUUGUGUAUUACUAGAAAUAUUCACAAAUGAAGAAUUGUAGAUACUGAAUCUUCCUCUGAUGCACUGAAUAAAGCUCAAAGUUUGCUCUAAUUACACUUAACCUGGUUGAAGAAUGCAGAGUAAUUUAGAAAUGCAACAAAUGCAUAUUUCAGCCAUUUCUGAAACUGGUUCACUGCUUCACUCUCACAAGUCCAUUUCUACUAGUGUCUGACCUUCUGGAAGGUAGAGUACCCCUGGAACUGUAGCUGGGUCUGAGAACUAAAGGGCUUGAUGCAAAUGCAUGUGGUGAGACAGACUGUGUUCUGUUAUAAAUGAUCUCCAUCCUGGUGUUCUUUCCUGCCCAAUUUAUUUUGUGUUUCUGGGAUCUUUCCACAGAGCGGAGCAACAUAAACUAUAUUGGAAUCUUAUCUUUUAUUGGGCUUUGGGCCAGAAGUGCAGAGCUCCAGAUUUUAGAAAGUAUAGCAUUACUUUCUAUGCCAUAAAAUUAAAGGCUUGGUAUUAGCACUUGCUCUUUUUUUAGCCAUUAAUUCAUUCCCAUAGUCAUAGGUAAAUAUCCUAAAAUUGUGCAAUGUAAUUGGUAUAGUGAGAUGUCUGAUUUAUGUAGUUUUGGAAAACCUUUUUCAGAGCAUGGAUAAACAUGUAUUGGUACAUUUCCAUAGCUCCCAACAACCUCUGUAGAGAAAAAGGAAUAAAAGUAAAGAUAACUUUUUUGUCCCAGGGAAUAAAAAUUAUUCCACACAAAAGAACAGUGGCUGUUGGCCUGAGCUCUUCUCACCCCUUUUCUGUGUAAAUAUUGAUACAUUGUAUGAAUGCAGAGGUUAACAGUCAUGUGCUGCCUUUAUGCUAGAUUCUCUGGUUAUUGUUUUAGUCUUCUCAUUAUUUGAAACAUAGAUCAGAAUAGUUCCCAAACUCACUGAAACUUUAGAGCUUAAGAUUUUAGAUUUGUUUUAAAGUGGCUAAAAUUCUACUGAGCUUCUGAUAUUUCUAUUUCUCCUUUGAAAUAGUUGACAUACUAGUGAAAAUAAGACUAAUUCAGAACAAAUUACUCAAUGAUAAAAAAAAAAAUAGUUUGGUUCUCUCUCUCCCCCCCCCCCCCCCCCCCCCCCCCCCCCUCCCCCCCCCCCCCCCCCCCCCCCCGCUCGUGGGUGUUCGUGUGUGCAUGUAUGCACUCUCUCUUUCUCAAAAAUCAAUAAAUUGUAAAAAGAGUGACAUAGUCUGGUUAUUUUUGACUGAUUAGCUAGAUUUUAAUGUCCUUGAAGGUUAGAUGCUGGUGUAUCUGACCCAGGGCUUAACAAAUUAUGCAGUGGGUUUUCAGGAAAAAAAUACUUUUUCCUCUUUUAUGAUCAAGAUCUCUGCUGUGUAAUUACCAGAAACGGAAAAGUUGAGCUAAUUUCUUGUAUUACCAGAUGGAUGGGUGUUAUUUAUCAGUGAAAAUACAAUCAGAUGUGAACAUUUUAAGUAAAGGAUGAUCCAGAAGUUUUGUCUGAUUUAAUGAGAGCCUGAAUUAUAGAAUACCCAGAGAUGUGAUUUUCUUUAAAAUAACAAAAUAUAGUACUACAAGUGUUCAUGUGUUAUAUAAGCCUGUAUAAUCAUAAACUAGGCUUAUAAACACUUGCCAAUCUCAGUGUGAAGACAUGAGUACAAAUAUGAUACCCUCAAGAAACUUAGAGUCUAGCUUUGAAUUAUACCACAAUAUUUUAAUUUAAUUUAUAAUUAUUAAAAUAUGUUUAUAUUGUAUUUGCUUAUAAAUGGGAAUUGAUGAAAUUUGAGUAAAUGAACUUCUAGUGUUUAAAAGUCAUGCAGAAUCUUGAGGUUCCAGUUUAUAUCUCUUUUCCUUCUGCCUUCAUGGUACCCAUGAAUCAUUGUUUAUUACUGUUGGUUCCCUGUAACCCAGCCAUCAUCUUCUGUAUUCUGAAAGAAAACACUCUUCUUUUUUUUAUUUUUUGGAGGGAGAGGGAGAGCACGAGAGCAAGCCAGAGAGGGGCAGAGAGAGAGAGAGAGAGAGAGAAAAUCCCAAGCAGGUCCUGCACUGUCAGCGCAGAGCCUGAUGCGGGGCUCAAACCCACGAACUGUGAAAUCACACCUGAGCCGAAACCAAGAGUCGGACACUUAACCAACUGAGCUACCAAGGAGACCCUGAAUGAAAACACUGUGAAUUUGUUUUUUUUUUAGGGACUCUAAUAUUGAGUGGCAACUAACUUUUUGUUCCUCUCAACUGUCCUUUUAAUUUUGUUGUAUUAGACCAUAGGCUCACCAUUCAGCUUUCCAGGGUUUGGUUUUACAGUGGUCCCUUGGAGGAAGUUUUGAGUACUGUGUUUUUUAAAAUUUGGUAACAUUAUGUUGGGUGUAGAAUAUGGGGAGAGGCUAUGGCAGUGGCUUCUAAUUAAUAUCCUAGAACUUGAAUAAUACACAGUUUGGGAUUUUGUGGUUCUAUAAAACUUUUGUGUAUUAUAAGGUUGAUUUCUAAUAGCAGAUAUUUGGUAGAAUCUCAGCAAAGGAGAAAUCUGAUUUCCAGCACAUUAGCUGUUAGCAUUAUAUUGCCUGCCUUGAAGAUGUGAUCGAUGUUCUUUCUCUAUGGAUUCUUUUCCUUUCCUUCCCCUUCCCCUUCAUUCUUUUAAUUUAUGAGGGCAUCUGUUGGGGUUGCUUUAGGAUGGCAGUAUCCAGUGUUCUUACUCUGUGGGAUUUCUUUCUCUUUCCAUUUGUUCAUCAUUCCAUUCAGCAUUUUUUUAGGUUGCUUUAGGACAGCUGAAUCCUGAUAAGACAACACGCUAUUAGAGAUGCAAAAAUCUUUAUCUGUUUUCGUCAAUAGGAGCUGUUGAUUCAGAUAGAAGUGAACAAUACUAAAUGUAACAUCUUUUUUAUUUGUGAUUUUGAGCCUUUAUUUUGUAAAGUUUGAAUAUUUGAAUGCGUACAUAUAAAUUCAUAACCUUCAAACUUCACUUUUUAGCCCGACACAUGAUGUUACUGUAGAAUAGGAAUGGUAUGGAAAAAUAAGAUCCAGAGAUAAUUCACAGUCUUUGAUUUUAACCUUUAGAGUUAAAACUUUCGUAUCUAUCAUUAAACGUGUAGCUAUACAACGGUUUAACACUAUGUAGUAAAAGUAUGCCAAAUAGGAAAACACAGUGACAGUUCUUUUGGGUGGCUUAGUCAAUAAUCACUCAGGGCUUACUUGAAAUCUAUAAAAUACAGGUCUCAAACUAGGAAAUUAUUAUUAUUAUUAUUAUUAUUAUUUUAAAUGUUUGUUUAUUCUUGAGAGAGAGAGAGAGAGACAGAGUAUGAGCAUGAGUUGGGAGGGGCAGAGAGAGAGGGAGACACAGAAUCUGAAGCAGACUCCAGGCUCUGAGCUGUCAGCACAGGGGCUUGAACUCAUGAACUGUGAGAUCAUGACCUGAACCAAAGUCGGAGGCUUAACCGACUGACCCACGUGGGUGCUCCAAUAAUUUUUUUUUUUUAAUAAAUAUUUAUUUGUUUUUGAGAGAGAGCGUGAGCAGGGGAGGGGUAGAGAGAGAGAGGGAGAGGGAGAGAAUCUCAAGCAGGCUCCAUGCUGCCACCGCAGAGCCUGAUGUGGGGUUUGAACUCAUGAACCAUGAGAUCAUGACCUUAACUGAAAUCAAGAGUUGGACACUCAACUAUCUGAGUCACCCGGUCCCUUCAGAGUAGGAAAUUACUAUGAUCCCUUCUAACUCUGAUUGUUGGCAGUUUUCUUGGCAUCACAAAUUAGUGGAUAGUGAAAUGUUCAACCUCUCACAAGAAGUGAUGGAUAGUCUUCACCAAGGUAAUCAGCUUUUGAAAAAGCAGUGGCUUUGAAGUUUUUAUAUGAGCAAGAUUGAAAAUGAGAGUCUGCUCAGCAGAUCUGCAGAGAAUCUGUGAUAAAUUUCUUUAGAGCCACUUCAAACCCCAGGAGCUCCACAUAGGAUAGUUUUAUUUGGGGUUCUGUUAUGGACCUAUUCUAUUCUAUAUAUCUACUCUCAGUGGACAGAUCUGUCUAAGCAUUUUUUGAAAAAGAGUACUGCAGUCUCAAAGAUAGGGUUUAAUAUCUUUACCAAAAUAUGGCAGACAUUGACAGAUGGUUUCUAAGGGUAAUUCCUUGCAAUCAAACCUUAAUUUCUUUAUAGUGCCAGUAUAUAAAAUAAGUAUAGGUAUGUAUUAUUACAUUGCCAGUAAGAAACAACAGUUGACUGCCAAAAAUAGACUUUUCAUAGCACCCAAGUUUUCUAGAUCAGAAUCCUGUAGCAUAGUAGAACGAGUUAUUAAACAAGAUUGAGGAGUGCCUGGAUGGCUCAGGUCAUGAUCUCAUGGUUUGUGAGUUUGAGCUCUCAUUAGGCUCACUGCUGUCAGGGCAGAGCCCACUUCGGAUCUUUUGUCCCACUCUCUCAAUGCCCCUCCUCCCCCCCCCCCCC